rnacentral:rRNA from 1 species
GAUGAACGCUGGCGGCGUGCCUAAUACAUGCAAGUAGAACGCUGAAGCUUGGUGCUUGCACCGAGCGGAUGAGUUGCGAACGGGUGAGUAACGCGUAGGUAACCUGCCUCUUAGCGGGGGAUAACUAUUGGAAACGAUAGCUAAUACCGCAUAAAAGUCGAUAUCGCAUGAUAUUGAUUUGAAAGGUGCAAAUGCAUCACUAAGAGAUGGACCUGCGUUGUAUUAGCUAGUUGGUGAGGUAACGGCUCACCAAGGCGACGAUACAUAGCCGACCUGAGAGGGUGAUCGGCCACACUGGGACUGAGACACGGCCCAGACUCCUACGGGAGGCAGCAGUAGGGAAUCUUCGGCAAUGGGGGCAACCCUGACCGAGCAACGCCGCGGGAGUGAAGAAGGUUGUCGGAUCGUAAAGCUCUGUUGUAAGAGAAGAACGAGUGUGAGAGUGGAAAGUUCACACUGUGACGGUAACUUACCAGAAAGGGACGGCUAACUACGUG